rnacentral:tRNA from 1 species
AAAACAAAUAGUUGUGAAAAUUAGCUUCUAACUAUAUUUUUUAGCGGUUCAAUUCCGUUAUUGUUUUA